rnacentral:lncRNA from 1 species
UUUAAGAUGAUACAAGUAAUAACAUUAAAAUCACAUAUAUUAGAAAUAGAACCGGAAAACAAUAUAUAAAUAAAAGAUAAUCCCCACCAUAUCAGCAAACUUUUGAGAUCCUGAAAUGUUUAUACUGAAUAAAAAGAUAAAAAUAUGACAAAAAAAUAUUAUGUGCCAUGCUGCAAUAUCAAAUGUUGAAAACUGAGAGUAUACAGAACAAAAAGGAAGACGCAAAAGGUGGUAGAAACGGUCGCGUAAGGAUCGUGUUUCAAAUUUCAAUAUUCAAAUCCACCUUUCUGACAUGCAUCAACUGGUUUGACAAUGGCCCAGCAGAAUCCCUUCAUGCCUUUCAGUUUAUCUUUUUGAAAAAAUCUGUGGCUUGAUGGAGAUAUUAAACAUGUGUGUGUAUAUAUAUAUAUAUAUAUGUACAGAGAUGAUUUGCUCUAAUAUAUUAAAAGCUUGUGGGAGAAAAGGAAAAGAGAGAAAGAGAG